GCACAAGCGGUGGAGCAUGUGGUUAAUUCGACGCAACGCGAAGAACCUUACCAGGGCUUGACAUCCCCUGACCGCGUAUGAAAGUACGUUUUCACCCUCGGGUGACAGGGAGACAGGUGGUGCAUGGUUGUCGUCAGCUCGUGUCGUGAGAUGUUGGGUUAAGUCCCGCAACGAGCGCAACCCCUACGUUUAGUUGCUAACAGGCGAAGCUGAGCACUCUAGACGAACUGCCGUUGACAAACGGAGGAAGGUGGGGAUGACGUCAAAUCAUCAUGCCCCUUAUGUUCUGGGCUACACACGUGCUACAAUGGCCGGUACAGACGGAGGCGAAGCCGCGAGGCGGAGCAAAUCCGAAAAAGCCGGUCUCAGUUCGGAUUGCAGGCUGCAAUUCGCCUGCAUGAAGUCGGAAUCGCUAGUAAUCGCAGGUCAGCAUACUGCGGUCGAAUACGUUCCGGCCUU
rnacentral:rRNA from 1 species